rfam:Rhizopogon vinicolor AM-OR11-026 unplaced genomic scaffold K503scaffold_237, whole genome shotgun sequence.
AAACGAUGAAACACGAAAAUCUAGCAUAGUUCACACUGAAUCAUUGUGUUGACAACCAUUCAUCACGUCUUUCGCUCCUAUCUGACACUUCCU